AAGGUGUGGAACGAUCUAGGGACACACACAAGGGAUGGUGAAGGACCUUGGGACUACGAGAGCAGAAGGUGAUGGCGACUGGUAAGCACUUCAUCACGCCCAGGUCUGAAGAGAAAUGUGCCAGUUACAGAUCUCAGGGUUGGUUUUUAUUGGGAGAGGGUCACUGGAAGAGAGCUGUGACACUGGAUGGAAAGAUGUGGCCAAAUUGUGUCCACUGCAGAAAGGGAAUUAAAUGCAUCGCCUCCCUUUCCUCCCACUGGGGCUGGGAGCUCAUUGAUACGGUUUGUGCAGAUCAGCCUGCCGGACACAGACUAGGACAGGGAAAGGUGGGGGGUGUAUCGGCAGGGCAGAGAGAAGAUAACCUUCUCAGUGCAGUUUUGGCAUGCAGUAAAUCGGCAGAAAAUUAUAGUGAUGGGAUGGACAUCAGGGAGAUGUUGGACUCCGAAGCUCCAAGCUCAUAUUCUUCCGUACAAUCAUGGGGGAAAAAACACUCAAAAAACCCUUGCCCAAAUGGCAACAGCCUUAGAUUCAAGUGGUGGCAAAUUCAGGUCCCAGUUCUACUCUUUAAAUCAGAGGGAGAGAGCAGACCUUAUCUGCAAAUUACUGUGUACAUCUGUUCUAACUCGGCUGGGGGAUUCCUGAAGGACUGACUUGCUCUCUCUUUCUCGCCUAACUCAGAACACAGGCCAGAAGAGCUUCAGGCUUUGCUCAUAAAAGCAACCAGGGAAAACCCACCUGUACACACCUGACGUAACAGAUUCCCACCGGAGACAUACAAGGGACCAUCUAAGGCCUGGAGGACAGAGUGGGCCUGGAGAAUUGCCCUCUUUCACACCUUCUGUGCAACAACCUGCUCCGUGGGAACGCUCACAGUCCAGGGAGCACUCCGAGGUGUCUUGACAGCCGGGCUGGAGGAGAGCCCAGGUCUUCCGAAGGUGAGAGAGCUGUGAGCCCACAUCCUUCUGGUAAAGACACUUCCCUUACACUUCACAACAAUAAACCCACUUUCACAAUAUGUAGCUUAGAUUUUCAGGUGACUCUUACAACAAUCAUUUCUCACAACCACUUCAUUGUGAGUUUAGGAUAUUCCUACUAGCCAUUCACUCAUUUUCAGUAAAUGGGAAAACCAAAGCAAGAAAUACUCAAUUGAAGCGGAAAAGUACAUUACUUGACCUCUUUUCCUACCGACUACGGACAUGUUUUUCUCCUCCUUUAGAUUACAAGCAUAAACACUGAUGUAAGGGCAAGCGGCUUGCCUUUUGGGUCUAGAGUGUUUUUGAUGAUAACAGCACAGGGAGCCCCAGGGUGGAAUGUCUUAGCAGCAGUUAAAGGUUAACAAGAUGAAUCGAUAGGCCCAUUGAUGUCUCUGAAGGAGGAGCCACAUCAUGCAAGGCAGGUCCAGGGGUGAAGUUACAGGAACCUCCCAGCCUCUCUCUCCAAACUUCCAGACACAGCAGGUGUCAGUUACAUCUGCAGCCUGGGACAGAAGCCCCGCCAAGUCACGGAGUAAAGGAUGUUCAAAGCUGGAAGGCACAUCAUAGACCACAGAGACCGACUUCCUUAACUUACGGCCUAAGGCCUAUGUAACAUACCUUUGAUUAGGUGCCACAAUAUUUCCAAGUAUUCUAUACACUGUUAAUCAUUUUCCUACACGUUAUAUCAUUUGUUUCUCCCCCCAAAUCUGAACUGCCAAUGUUUGUCCCAUUUUGCAGUUGAGGAAACCGAGGCUUGGAGAAGGCCAAUGGCUAGUUCUAAAGCAUGCAACGACGGGUAGGUGGGGGGGCAGAGACUUGAGGCUCAGUUUUAUAAAUUUGGGGCUCUCGCCGCUGGGUUAUGCCACUUUGUCGGCACCUCGAGCAGGAUAUCCUCCAGGAAACAUUUACUGUAUGCUUUCUAGAUGUCUGGGAUUGUGCAUAGCUCUGAAUUCUGUGCUCCUGCUACAUCUAGGUCAUUAAUAAAGUGGUGUGGAUAAAUUGCAA